GAGGCUUGGAGGCAGUGGGUAAUGGGUGAGGGCUGUUUUGGAACUGGAAGCUUGCACCCUGUGGUGCACUGCAGGGAUUGGUGCUGGGACCCUUGAUGUUUAUUAAAUACAUUCAUGAUAUGGAUAAGAUGGAGAGAUGCAACAACAUCUACUAUGGAAAGUACCCGCAGUAUGCCAGAUAUUCGAGUGUGUCAAGGGGCAGAAGUGAUUGCAAUUGCAAUUAUUAAGGAGAACCUGAAAGGUUUGAAGAUAGCAGGUGAGCACCUUGUUUAUGCAUCAGAUCCAUUCAUCUGAACGUAACAACAAACUCAUGAGCUGUGAUACAGUAAGAUCUGAAGAAAUGGCCUUUUAAGAUUUCUCUAUUCUGGCCAAUUCAGCAAGCGGGUGUUUUUGUGGAAACGAUCGUACCUUCUUCUAAUCGUGCAGGGAAGUCUUGAGAUAGCAAGUGAAGCAUGGGCAAAAGAAAUGAGACGAAAGACCUGCUAACAUGAAGAAAAAUGUUUUGCCUACAUUAGUUUUGAGCUUUGAACUCCUCUUCAAUUUUGUGCAAAGAUGCAUCGUACAAAAGCUGGGAGGUUUAAUGUCACAACUCAAGGUAGUGAUCAGAAUUACCUCUGAUCCUCAGAAACAAAUGUGAACAUUUUCAUAUCGCUUCUGAUUAGUUUUGGGUAUUCUUUGUUUUGCUUUGUUCAGAUUUGGGCCCUGGACGCUACCCACUCCACAUUUACAAUUAAACAUGUCCAUCUGGAAACACUGCAUAUAGAUAGAAUUAAUUUGUUUGAUGUUAAGUAGCUGGCUCCUUAUUCUCAUCAGUGUGAAUUAUAGAUUGCAUCAGACUAAACCAUUCCUUGGUCACUAGCCUUACGAUAUUUUCUGUAUUUUCUCUGGAUCAAGAUUUGUUAAGUAAGUACUUCAUGAAACAAAGGUGAUAAAAAAGUGUUGAGGUACAGAACCAACAUCAUCUAACUGACCCUUCAUUGAUCUGAAAUCUUAAUUCUGUUUUAUUUUACCAUCUAUAAAUACCCAGACAUGGCUUUUCGUUACGACUGAAAAACAAUUUGUAAAUAGUAUCAAGUCUAUAUGCACACUCCGCCACUUCCCUUUUGUCUACUUGUUUAAUAAUCUAAUAUUUCUUCAACAUAUAUACCAUUCCAUUUACUCUGUAACCACAUGAUUACUCCACUUAGACUGAUUUCUUGUCUGGCAACAUAUUUUUAAAAUUAAGUCUUUGCUUUCAAAUGCCCAAACAGCUUUGAUCCUACUCAUCACCAGAUUCCACCUUCACAAUUAUCAGGUUCCCCACUCCCUGAAUUCUGGCCAGCUGCAUAGUCUCAACUUCCACUGCUUAACUGACAUCAUCUGUUCAGCCUCUAAGCCUCAGAGACAGAGUUGUACAACUUUGGAACAGACCCUUCAGCCUACCAUCAUGGCUAUUUACACUAAUAAUACUUGCCUGAAUUAAUUCCAUGCCUUACUUAUUCAAGUACUUGUCCAGAUGUCUUUAAAUGUUGUUACGGUUUCUGCUUUCACCACCACUUCUGGCAGCAUGUUCCAGAUACCAAUAUUUUGUGUAAAAAAAAAUUACCACUCACCCAUUUUAAAUCUCCUUCCUCUCAUCUCCAUCAGGUGCCAUGCCCAGUUUGAGCUUUGACUGCCAUGGCCCACACUCUCCUGUUUCGGGUCAAGUGGAUCAAUUCAUUGGUAUUCAUUUCCAGUUUUCUGGCUGCUGUCUCUAUCAUCAUUUGUCUUUGCCUUCCUCUUGCUUUCUUCCAUUCAAUCUUUCCCAUAAUUACCAUGCAUUCUAACUCCUUUCCUAGUUACAUGUCCAUUGCCUUUUAUUGAUCUCAUUCAUUAUUUCUCUUUUUGAGCUUACUUUGUUCAUGAUAUCCUCGUUAGAUAUUCAUUUCAUCCAUUUAUAUUCUUUGCAUCCUCCUCAAAAACCACAUCUCUGCUGCUUCAAUUUGUUUCCUCAUGUUACUAAAUAUUGUCCAACAUUCUGAGCCAUAUAACUGGAUAAACGUAACAAUUCAGUACUCUGAGGUAGGUUGUCAUGCCUAGCUUAAUGUUGGUCAAUAUACUCCUUAUUCUCAUAAAGGUGUCUUUUGCCAUACCUAUUCUUCUUUUGAUGUCCAUGUUGCACCUGCCAUCUGAUGUCACCCAACUUCCUAAGUAGCAAAAGUUCUGUACUUGGUUUAUGUCUUCCCCGUCUAUUCUCAGCCUGCAGAUAGGAUUCUCCUUCUUUUUGAAUAUCACCAUACAUUGUCUUUUUGCAAUUGAUAGACAGACCCAUUUUUGCACUUUCUUUAACAACUGUAUCAAUUAAGUUUUGUAGUUUUUCCUCCAUACUUGCAACUAACAGUGUCAUCCGCAUAUCUGAAAUUUGUUUUCACUGCCAACUUCGAUUCCCAAGAUCUCUUAUUUUUUUGUAAUAUCGCUUCACCGUACACAUUAAACAAAUCAGAAGAAAACAUACCCGUCUAACGCCUCUCUUGAUUUUCGUAAACUUACACACUUCUCCAUCUAUUCUUACAGCGGCAGUUUGUUCCCAGUACAGAUUUCUGAUUAGGCGGAGGUCUUUCGAAUCUAUAUCUAGUUUCCUGUAAUAUUUCAAAUAACUUAUUGCUUCACUUUAUCAAAUGCUUUUGUGUAGUUGAUAAAAUAAAUCUUUUUGCACUUGAAUAGCUCGUUCUGAUAGUAUCCUUAACAUAUCACAGUUCUUGUACCUGUCUUUCACAAACCACAUUGUUCUUUACCUAUUUCAGCUUGUAUCUUACUUUUAGCUUGUCGUAGAAGGAUCUUGGUGAUAUGAAUCAUUAAACUUAUGGUCUAUGUAAUUCACAUUCUAUUGCUCCAGGUUUCUUAGGAAGAGUGAUACUGAUUUUUUCAUCUCUUCUGGUAUUAAUCCAGUCUCAUAAAUGUAAUUGAUUAAAUCAGUAAGUUUUUCAAUUCUAUAAUCUUCAAUGGCGAUAAUUUGUUCUAUUACUAAUUCAUCAGGACCUGCUGCCUUUCCUUUCUUCAUCAUCACGAACUUCAGAUUUUAAAAUACUUGGACCUUCAAUGUUCUUCUUAAUUUCUGGUUUUUCACCUCAAUCGUCUUCAAACAAUUCCUGAAUAUACUCAGUCCAUCUGUUCAUAAUCUCAUCUUUUUCCACGAUAAUGGUACUGUCCUUUGCUUUCAAACAUCCACCUGAAGAGCAGAGGAGCUUUUUACCAGUGAUAUUCUUGACUAGUUGAUGUAACCUUUUUGGAUCAGUAAUAGCCA